rnacentral:misc_RNA from 1 species
GAUCAUUACCGAGUCUCGGUGGCCGGCGCGCGCGUCGCCCACCGUCCCUCACCACCCGUGUCUACCGUACCCUGUUGCUUCGGCGGGCCCGCCCCCGCGGGGCCGCCCCUGGGCCCUGGGCCCUGGGGCCACCGCCCGCCGAAGCCCCCCCUGAACGCUGCCCGGAAGUCUGCUGUCUGAGUGGUUGGGAAUGAAGCAACAAAACUUUCAACAACGGAUCUCUUGGUUCCGGCAUCGAUGAAGAACGCAGCGAAAUGCGAUAAGUAAUGUGAAUUGCAGAAUUCAGUGAAUCAUCGAAUCUUUGAACGCACAUUGCGCCCCCUGGUAUUCCGGGGGGCAUGCCUGUCCGAGCGUCAUUACUGCCCUCAAGCGCGGCUUGUGUGUUGGGCGUUCGCCCCCCGGCGGAGGCGUGCCCGAAAGGCAGUGGCGGCGCCGUGCCCGGUCCUCGAGCGUAUGGGGCUCUGUCACCCGCUCUGGAGGCCUGGCCGGCUGCCGUCGACCCCGUCAGACCUUACUUUACCGGUUGACCUCGGAUCAGGCAGGGAUACCCGCUGAACUUAAGC